AACGCACAUUGCACCUAUUAGUAUUCUAGUAGGUAUGCCUGUCCGAGCGUCAUUUCAACCCUCAGAGCGGCUCGGGCCGCCCUGGUGUUGGGGUCCCCCCGGCCGCCGUGCCGCGGGCCCCGAAAGUCAUCGGCGGUGCCUGCCAGCACUCCGGGCGCAGUAGAAAACCUCGCCCUGGACGUCUGGCGGCGCCUGCCGCUAAAUCAGCAGUGCCGAGAGGCGUUGCAGUACCCACAGGUUGACCUCGGAUCAGGUAGGAAUACCCGCUGAACUUAA
rnacentral:misc_RNA from 1 species